rnacentral:rRNA from 1 species
UACGGGGGGGGCAAGCGUUGUUCGGAAUUACUGGGCGUAAAGGGCGUGUAGGUGGCCAACUAAGUCCGACGUGAAAUCCCCAGGCUUAACCUGGGAACUGCGUCGGAUACUGGAUGGCUUGAAUUCGGGAGAGGAAUGCAGAAUUCCAGGUGUAGCGGUGAAAUGCGUAGAUAUCUGGAGGAAUACCGGUGGCGAAGGCGGCAUCCUGGACCGACAUUGACGCUGAGGAGCGAAAGCUAGGGGAGCAAACGGG